UAUGUACAUGAUAAAGAGGACCUGCAGGAGUUUGAAUUAAGCAUAAAAACGAGGUUAUUUAGCUAAUUUGAACUAUUUAAACAAGUCUUGAACCGUUUUUAAUUAGGUCCCAGGCAGUAAAUAGUAAAGGUAAUGAUGCAGUGUCUAUCUGUUAGGAUUUUUUCACUCCAUCAACUGUAGAUAAGAAACAGACGGAGCUUUGCCAUUGCUAAUGUGAAGCUGCAGAGGAUCUCAGGAUUACAGCCCCGUCACGACCAGCUUUUUGGCCCAUCAGUCAAUAACACAGGCUGACAAACACAGACGAGGAGUCGUGAGUGAUCACACCUUCAAUCACCUUCAGGAAAUCCCACUAUCAAUAAAAGCCUGAAGAAACUAGUUCAUGACAUGUGCUGCGUUUUCACAUUGGUUGUACAUGAGAAAGUAACAUAUAUACUUGAAUAUAAAUAUAUUACUUUCCCAUGAAAGUCUCACUUUUCUGGAUUUGAUUUUUAAUGGCAGCUCCACGUUCGUUGGAUUGUUCCUACCUAGUGGUGUACUGGGUCGAACACAUGCAAAGAUGGACGAAAACAGACACGGAGUAGCAUCCCUGCUAAUGAGCAUUGCAGCAUCUUUGUAAGGUGAUCCAUCAAAAUGACUGUGGUGCUGUAGUUUUUUUUUUGUGGCAUUUUCCUUCAUAAUUUAUCAUCCAUUCUAGAUCAAUAAAUCACUGCAACAACGAAAAAUAUUCUGGUUGUAAUUUUUUUUUAAAGAUUAGUUUGACAGAUAUAAAAAGACCAUGGGAGAUAUUUUAUCCAAUCAGGUUUUUUUUUUUAUUUGGAACAGAGUGGCAGAUUAGUGACAGGGCGGUGGCUCGGAGGAUCCGCCUCCUUUCGCUCACUCAGCCAAUGACAGAAACUCAGCCUUAAAAAAUGCAAAUGUAUAAAAACAGGAAUGGGAACA